rnacentral:sRNA from 1 species
GCUGGGCGUGGUGGUGCACACCUGUAAUCCCAGCAGCUUGGGAGGCUGAGAUAGGAGGAUCGCGAGUUCAAAGCCAUCCUCAGCAACAGCAAGGCAUUAAGCAACUCAGUGAGACCCUGUCUCUA